GGGGUAUUCCCUCCUUUUCUAU
rnacentral:misc_RNA from 1 species